AGGGGGGCGGGGCGGGGGGCGGGGCCAAGCGAGCCCUGUCCCCCCUGGCCGAAGCCCCCGAGAGCUCCAAGAAGAGGCUGCAGGACCCCGAGAACGAGAUCUUCUACCUGCAGGUGCGGGGCCGGCAGCGCUACGAGAUGUUCCGCAUGGUGAACGAGGCCCUGGAGCACACCUACGGGGGGGGCGCGGCCCCCCGAAAGUGAGCGGGGCUGGGGGGGCUGG